AUUGAACGCUGGCGGCAGGCUUAACACAUGCAAGUCGAGCGGUAGCACAGGGGAGCUUGCUCCCUGGGUGACGAGCGGCGGACGGGUGAGUAAUGUCUGGGAAACUGCCUGAUGGAGGGGGAUAACUACUGGAAACGGUAGCUAAUACCGCAUAACGUCGCAAGACCAAAGAGGGGGACCUUCGGGCCUCUUGCCAUCAGAUGUGCCCAGAUGGGAUUAGCUAGUAGGUGGGGUAAUGGCUCACCUAGGCGACGAUCCCUAGCUGGUCUGAGAGGAUGACCAGCCACACUGGAACUGAGACACGGUCCAGACUCCUACGGGAGGCAGCAGUGGGGAAUAUUGCACAAUGGGCGCAAGCCUGAUGCAGCCAUGCCGCGUGUGUGAAGAAGGCCUUCGGGUUGUAAAGCACUUUCAGCGAGGAGGAAGGUGGUGAGCUUAAUACGCUCAUCAAUUGACGUUACUCGCAGAAGAAGCACCGGCUAACUCCGUGCCAGCAGCCGCGGUAAUACGGAGGGUGCAAGCGUUAAUCGGAAUUACUGGGCGUAAAGCGCACGCAGGCGGUUUGUUAAGUCAGAUGUGAAAUCCCCGGGCUCAACCUGGGAACUGCAUUUGAAACUGGCAAGCUAGAGUCUCGUAGAGGGGGGUAGAAUUCCAGGUGUAGCGGUGAAAUGCGUAGAGAUCUGGAGGAAUACCGGUGGCGAAGGCGGCCCCCUGGACGAAGACUGACGCUCAGGUGCGAAAGCGUGGGGGGCAAACAGGAUUAGAUACCCUGGUAGUCCACGCUGUAAACGAUGUCGAUUUGGAGGUUGUGCCCUUGAGGCGUGGCUUCCGGAGCUAACGCGUUAAAUCGACCGCCUGGGGAGUACGGCCGCAAGGUUAAAACUCAAAUGAAUUGACGGGGGCCCGCACAAGCGGUGGAGCAUGUGGUUUAAUUCGAUGCAACGCGAAGAACCUUACCUACUCUUGACAUCCAGAGGACUUAGCAGAGAUGUUUUGGUGCCUUCGGGAACUCUGAGACAGGUGCUGCAUGGCUGUCGUCAGCUCGUGUUGUGAAAUGUUGGGUUAAGUCCCGCAACGAGCGCAACCCUUAUCCUUUGUUGCCAGCGGUUCGGCCGGGAACUCAAAGGAGACUGCCAGUGAUAAACUGGAGGAAGGUGGGGAUGACGUCAAGUCAUCAUGGCCCUUACGAGUAGGGCUACACACGUGCUACAAUGGCAUAUACAAAGAGAAGCGACCUCGCGAGAGCAAGCGGACCUCAUAAAGUAUGUCGUAGUCCGGAUUGGAGUCUGCAACUCGACUCCAUGAAGUCGGAAUCGCUAGUAAUCGUAGAUCAGAAUGCUACGGUGAAUACGUUCCCGGGCCU
rnacentral:rRNA from 1 species